GGCUUCGUAGCUCAGCUGGUAGAGCGCUUGCCGUGUAGAGGCAUGGUGUUUGUGUCGCUGGUUCGAAUCCAGCCGAAGCCG
rnacentral:tRNA from 1 species